AAGCGCAAGAUUGAGUGCCUCGAUUCGAGUCACAAUGCGGCCCCCUACAUCAAGUGCGAGGGGGACCCGCCCGAACAUGCCAAGACCUGCACCAUGGAGGAGUGCCCCAAGUGGCAGCUCUCCCCUUGGUCCCCCUGUACUGCACCGUGCGGGAAUGGCACUCAGAAGCGGGUGGCACGCUGCAUGAAGCGCGGCCAGGAAGUGAGCCCCCUGAACUGCCACGGGAAGCGUCCCUCGCCUCAGGUCCGCACCUGCAACCUCCGCCCCUGCCACUACCGCUGGAAGAAGAAGCGAUGGACCCCCUGCAGUGCCACUUGUGGUGGAGGAUCCCAAACGCGCACUGUCGUGUGCGUAGACAGAAGCGAACGCCUGGCGCCCGAGCGCUUCUGCAACAGCCAACGUCGGCCCAAGGUCGUCCGACACUGCGCGGUACAUCCUUGUCCCUUCAUUUGGAAAACAUCCGACUGGUCCGAGUGCAGCCAGACGUGUGGGGAGGGCUUCCAGAAGCGUGCAGUGACCUGCCACAAGGUGAACCCCUACGGCUGGGCCGACCCUGUGCCCCUGGCGGACGCCGAGCGGCGGCAUGGGGACGCCUGGCCGCAUGAGCGGAGGGCCGCCCACUACUGCACGCCCCACGACAAGCCCGCCACCACCCGGCCCUGCAUGGUGGGACACUGCGGGGACGGGGUCUUCUGGCGCCCGGGACCCUGGACCCCAUGCUCGACGUCCUGCGGUCCGGGCAAGCAGAAGCGUCGGCUGCGCUGCCACGACAACAGGGGGAAGCGCGUCAACAACAGCCACUGCAGUGCCGCCCUCAAGCACAGGAUCAAGCGGAAACGGCGCUGCAUGCUCAGGCCAUGUUCUGCGGUGAGCUGUGAGGAGGUUCAGCGACGCGGCGGAGUCCACACGGACGGGGAACAGCAGCUGAACAUUCGCGGCCGCCAGGUGAAGGUGUACUGUGCCCGCAUGAACACCUCCUCCCCCAAGGAGUACAUCUCACUUGACAGUGGCGAGAGCAACAACUACUCCGAGGUGUACGGCAAGAGGCUUAUUCAGUCGGACGAGUGUCCGUAUGGAGGGGCACGUGUGGACAACUGCGAUUGUGUGGAUUACCCGGCUGCCCUCACCACUUUCUCCAAGGUUGCCUUCAACAUUACUUCCCUCGAAGUGAACAGGCACGACUUCACGUUCAGCCGCACCCAGAAGGGCCGUCCCACGGGGUUCGGGGAGUCGGGGGACUGUUACAGCCGGGCAAAGUGCCCCCAGGGCCGCUUUUCGCUCAACCUGGCCGGCACAGACUUCGUGGUGGCCGACGCCACCAAGUGGGUGACGCAGGGCCCACACGCCGUCAUCAAGCUGCGCCGACUUCAGGAGGGGCAGAUAAUCCAGGGCCAGUGUGGAGGCUACUGCGGCACAUGCUUCCCCGACCCCACGAGGGGUCUUUUGCUGGACGUCCGCCCACCUUGACUCAGGUGGGCACCUGCUGCCAUCUUGGUGCACCUCGCUGGAAGAUUUAGAUCUGUCACAUUUGCGCGUGGGCAAGCCAGCAGCAAGAAGUGGCGGUGAAACUGUCGACGUCCAACUCUGUGCAGUAUUUUCCGGCGCUUCCUCCGCGACGAACUGAACGAGGGGCGACCGGACCCUCCCCUCCCCCUGCCCGAUCACGCGACUCACCAGGUCUCGCCCGCGGCCGUCACGUGACCUCUUGUGGGAUACUGUCGCGCUUGCGCCGGCGACCAACGGACGUGCGACCAGCAUCAACACGUGUCUCAGUGUGUUUUUUUUUUUUUUUUUUCUUUUAAACCGAAGCGCCUUUGCCUUUUUUUUUUUCUUUACAAUUCACUUUACUACAGCGUUGUUAUUGAUGUGUUGUUGUUGUUAUAUCGUUAGCGGUGUUGCAACCUUUCAUUCGCCGAUCAUCGUCCGGAACCCGCGGACUCUGUCGCACACGGAAGAGGCACCAGGUUCCGACUUCUUUCGAGGUGCUCCGCACGUUGUCAAACCCUGCUAGCGGCCUGCAGCGUAGGCCCGUUCCAGGGGGCGCCCAAGUCGGUAGUGGUCAACACAGCCGACGGAACAUACAUCGUCGUUAUUUAUUGCUCGUCGGACGAGUGCCAACUCAGCCAAGACGAGCCACGGUGAGGUCGUGAGCAUUGUAUGCGUCGAACAGUGCACUUUUUUUUUAGUGUCCUUUCCACCUUUUGCACCGGAGGUGGCACUGCCAAGCCCCAAUCAUUUAGACUGUUUCCUCCUCACACCGCUUGUUGGGGCAGAGGUUGCCAAGGUCACAAUGGCGGACAUGGCCUAGCCGACCGCCGUAACAUAGCCCAAGGUUGCUUAGACGCAUUGCCCGGUGUCACGUUCACAGCGUUCCGCUCAGCUACCUCAGGCAGCUUCCGUCUAAACCAAACCCGCGCAGCUAGAAACAUCUUUUGACGUUUCUCAUUUACUCAAAAGGACGACUGCUUGCAACUGCGCGUCGAGAAUCUCAGUUCGCCCACGCCAAGCGCUUAACUCACCGUCCCACCUUUUUAACCGUUUGUCGUUCGCCCCCUUCCCCCGUUUCGGAGUAACACCGUCGUCGGCCGUGCGUUGGUUUGUGUUCUCACCAAAGUUUUAACGUCUCUCUCUUCUGUACAUAACCACGUGGUCCAAUCUCCCGGCGCCCCAUGUGCCGCGUCAUCACUCGCUGUGCCAAUUGUGUGUGGAAACAUGCGAGCCGUGCCUGCUGCGCCUUUACCGGAGCACCGCGGCGUCGUCAGUCUUCAAGAUUUGAUUGUCGGUGUUGCCCAGUGUUGUGCGACGUGUAGCGAGUGGUCACGCGAUUUGGAAGGAAGGCAUCGCGAGCGUGCGCCUCGCAAGCCUUCCCUACUGCCAUUUGUUUUUGGCUGCACUGCCUGUAAAUAAACAUUGAUGCGCAUCGGA